rnacentral:lncRNA from 1 species
UGGCCAUCAAGAGUGACCAGGAGAGCGUUUGAAGUAGGUGAUGUCCCUUCAGAGAAUCCAAGGGCGCUCUGGGGAGGGUUACCCGACUCUGCCUCUCUCAAUGGUCUUCAGGAGCCAUUUGAAAACAGAUAACGGCACAGGUGAGUCCCGUCCCAUGGUGGGGUCCCUGGAAGAUGGCCGCAUUCGUUCCAUGAGUGAAGGAAGAAUAAUUCCCCCUAUGAGGUCGGAGCUCCCGGUUGGGACAGAGAUGAGCUAGAGGGACACAGACACACAGCCCUCGGGCACAGGUGGCAGGUCCCAGGGAAAGGAGCCGCUCCCAAGGAGGUGGGGCUGGCUGCGAUCCCAGGGUCACGGGGCCACCGGGGCGUGUUUUCAGAGUGACGGGACAAAGGCAAAGCACUUUGGGCCUCGUGGGACGGGGAACGGAGGGAGGGCAAGUCAGUAGUUCGUAAGGGCUGGUCAGUGCGGUUGGUCAGUGGACGUCCAGAGCCCUCUGCAUGCCAAGGGCCCAAGGUGGUCUUUGGUGGUGAACUUGGUCCUUCCUGGUGGGCAGUGGGUAAGGUCACCUUUGGAAACAGAUGCCCGGCUCUGAGGCCAACACAGAAAGGCUGGGAGCCCUCCUGUGUCUGUGCCCGGGGAGAAGCCUUCAGCUCCAACCGUCCUCAGGCCGAGGUGGCUGCUCUGGGGUGGCUCAUCCGGGCCUCCUGCGCGUCUGUCGGGGAAGUCCCCCGGGCGCUUCUCCCUGUCCCCGGGCCCGGCACUCCCCGAGACAAACCAUCUGAUUUUGCAUCGCUCGUGGGUGAAGUCCCGGACCUGUGGUCAUCUGUACGGGACUUGUUCUCACUUUCCAGAGGCGUCCUCCCCCACCGCAGCCCGCGGCCUGCACCCCACGCCCUUCCCUGACUGUCCCCCCUCUCCUCCAGGGGUCCUGAGACUUGGAGGGGGAAGAAUGGCCCCGACCUCCCCUCUGGGAGCUGAUGGCAGAACUCCAAGGGUGGACUUCACUAAGGCCAGGGCCUGGGACCCGGUGCUUGUCUGUGUCCUAGAGACAGGGUCAUCCAGGGUCAAGGGCUCGGGCCUCAGAGCCCCAAACCUGCUUCAGAUCCAAGUGUUCCCUUCUGUGUUGUGACAUGCCGGGCACUUUGGUGAGUUGUCACCCCCUGUGAUCUAGCAAUGUUAAUAGAAGCUGCGCCAACGCGAGGUGAGGACUCGGUCAACAAACGCCCGUAAGAUGCUCGGCCCGGGGCUGGAACGGGGCACAUGACAGAUGAGGUUCUGUUGUCACCGUGCCUGGUAUUGUCCACAGUCUCCUCCGGCACUCCCCCCGGGGCUGCCUGGCCGCUGGUUUGGGCUGGGAUCCCCCAAUUCCUCCCGGUCUCCCCCUCUACAGGUGCUCUGGGCUGGCAGCCUCCUGCAAGGGUCGUGGCUCCUCCUGAGCAGCCCACGUUGCCUCCAUGUCCCCAGAACCGCCCUCCCCUUUCCAGGCCCAUCCAGCGUCAGGGUGGUGAGGUCACCUGUUUCUGCCCUGGCUCCUGCGUAUCCACCGUGCGCCUACACCCCACCCAGCCCUCUGUAGAGAGCGUCAUCUGUCCCCACAACGCGGUCACUCUCGUGGUUACUCUUCACUCCCUCGUGUCCCUCUCUGCCCUGGCGUGGUGAGCAGAGUUCCCCCUGAGCCUGCUGGACCGCGGGCAGCUGGAGUCCUCUCUCCAGCUGCCUCUGAGAUGUCACCCCUCGGCAGCCCUCACUCCACUGUCCACCCAAGAGGCUGCCUUCCUUUUGGUGACUGACCCCGAACAUAGAGCACGGGGGACAGAAGAGUUGGCGGGACGAGGGGCCCACCCCAGCCCAGUCUGCAGAAACAGACCUUAAUAAAGCAAUCGUGGCUACUUCCUCACAACUGUCAUCCCUGACCCCAAAUUGAUCUUUGCUAAAAGGGUACGAGAACGUCAAGCC